CGGGGAUGGGCGGGGCUUCGUCUGCGCUAUUGUCAUGGAAACGACAAGCCAGAGGCAGCGUUGGCUGGUCCUGCAGGCGGAGAAGGCUGCAAGCCCGCGGAGACAGGAGCGAGGCGGAGUGCCCUGGACGGCUGGAACGUGGAGAAACCAUGGCGGCCGCUCCAGCUCACCCUCCUGGGCUCGUUGCUGGCCCAGGUCGUGGUGGGGAGCGCCCCGGAGCGUCCCCGCCCUGCUCCCUUGGCUCCCGCCUCCUGCGGCCGUGCAGCGCCUCCUCGCCCGCCCCCGGCUCCGCCCGCCGUCGCUACAGCUCCUCGCGCUAACGGUCGGUGGCAGCCCGCGUGCGCCGCCCUCCGGGGGCUCGCGCCUGCCACGAGGGAGCGUCCGCGGCCCGUGCGCCCAGCCGCAGAGGAGAGGUGAGCCCCGGCCGGGCCGCGUCCCCUGCCUGCCGCGCAGCCGGCCUCCGCGCGGGGACCGUCUCUGUGUCCCCUCGUGGGCCAGGAGGACGUGGCGCGGCCCGGUUUGUGGACUGCGGGAGUAUCCGACCCGCCUCUGUGGGUGUCACCGGGUGUCGGCCGGCGCGCGUGGGCGUGUCCUCCCGGUCCACGCGUGUUCUCUCCAUCACUGUCGCCUUUCGUUCGGGACGACGGUUUCAGAAAUGGAGCCAUGGAGCACACAGUUCAUAACAGAGCUACUGUGCUGGUUAUUGGAAGGAGGAGAUUCAGAAAAUAGUGAGGGUCUCACAGUGGAGCUCAGGCUGGCCUCAAGUCACAGUCUUCCUGCCUCCCCCACCCACCAAGCGCUGGAAUUACAGGAUCCUGUUGUGCAGCCCGGGCUGGCCUGGAACUUCACAGUCCUCCUGCCUCCAGCAUCCUGAGUGUUUGCAUUGCAGGGAACAAUGUUUGUGAUGCUGCUACAGUAGACCUUUGAUGAUGUCAAUAAGGAGACAUCCCCACUUUCUUUGGUUAAAAGUCUCAGAGACUUUAAGGAUCGCUGCCUGCCAAGAAGAAAGCAUGGUGAACCACAAGCUGUUGCUAUUUCACUGAACCACUCCACAGAUGGUCCAUGGCUGCUGAGCAGAGUGAACCUCAGGAUAGACUGCACUGGUCCCCGACAAGGCCACCCUCACCAGCAGAUGAGGUGUUAAUGGAUUAUUCCUGGUAAUGGGUUUCCCUUCGUCUCUUUAUUAAAUUCCAAGCUGUUACCUAGACUACAUCCCACUAUAUCUAAUUAAUGUACUAAUCAACUUUGUUUUGAAUGGAAAUGAAGAAAAUCUGUUGAUACUCCUGCUGGCAGAAUAAGAAAUAUGCCUACUGUGGAGUAUCUUUUUCCAUUAUGAAGAAAAUUUAAUCUCUGUCAUCCUCAAAAGUGAAAAAUUAUUUUGUAGUUGGAUUCCUGCUUGUAUGGCUUGGGGUUAUCCUAGUUUCCAAGUGACUAUUUGUUUCAGAAAGAUUCUCUCCAGAAGCCAUUCAUAAGGCUGUUAAAUUCUUUAAUAAAGAAUUGGAAGCCAAAUUAACUAGGCUAGAAACACGGAUAAUCAGUUGGCAGUAGACUGAUGUCCAGCCCCCUGAAUUUUUAACUGCUGCAGAACUGAGUGACCCAGCUGUGGGUCCCACUCCAAGUCUUCCAAUCUGAGAGCAGCCACCAUGCCAUCAUCUCACUCUGUCCUCCAGUUGUCUUGUGUAUCUCCCAGCAUCCAUAUGUGUGAUCCCUCCACACAGCGAUGCCCUCUGAUGACAUAUUGAGCAUGACAGCCAUGAGAGCCAUGAGCAUGUCCCAGCCACUGUGCUAUACCUUUAAAUCUUCUGUUCCAAUGACAACCAUUUGAAAAUGGGAAGAAUAAUCCCAUUUUUCACAUUUCAAAAUAAGACUUUGGAUAGAUUAUGUAUCUUGUCUGUAGCCACACAGCUACUAAUUGGUGAAGUAAGGAUUUUUGUCCACUUCCUACCCAAACCCCAGCCAUCAACUCUGUCAUCUCUAUUAAGAUUCUGGCUUCCCUAAAUAAAUACAUGAAAAAAUGUUCAACAUCACUGGUCAUUCGAGAGAUGCAAAUGAAAACAAAGCUGAGAUUCCACCUCACCCUGGAAAGAAUGGCUGCUAUCAUGAAAUCAACCAAUAACACAUGCUGGCAGGGCUGUGGGGAAAGAGGAACCCUGCUCCACUGCUGGUAGGAGUGUAGACUGGUGCAACCACUGUGGAAAUCAGUAUGGAGAUACCUCAAAGAACUAGGACUGGAAGUCCCAUUCAACCCAGGUAUUCCCCUGCUGGGGAUCUACCACAAAGAAUUAAAAGAAUCAUACCACAGUGAUAUAUGUGCACCCAUGUUCAUAGCAGCACAGUUUGUAAUAGCUAAAACUUGGAAACAGCCCAAAUGCCCAUCAACUGGAGAUUGGAUAAAGAAAAUGUGGGUUUUUUUUUAUAAAAUGGAGUAUUACUCAGCCAUAAAAAAUGAGAAAUUAGAGACAUUUAUAGCUAAGUGAAUGCACAUUGAGGCGAUACUCUUAAGUGAAAUAAAUAGGACACACAUGUAUAAAUUCCGAAUAGUUUCUCUGGUGUGAGAAACUGAAAGUGUAAAUAAGGACUAAAUGUAUAAUAGGUCAUGUGAAAUAGAAAGAAAAGGGGCAAAGGGGAAGGAAGUGGGAGGACUAGGGGAAAGGAUAGAAGGGAAUGGGAUUAAUAUGAGAAAAUGGAAAAAUAGGAACAAAAUCUUUGUAAAUAGGGAGGACUGGAGGGGUUGAAGGGAGGGCUGGGCAAGGGUGAAAAACAAGAACCAAGAGAGACUAUGUAAAGGUCCACAUUUCCAAUGAUGAAUGUCAUUACAUUGUAUACCUAAAAUGUACCAAUGAUUAGAAUGAAUAAUCGAUAAUGUAAAAUAGGAAGAAAAGAUCCAAAGGGGUAGGGGUAGUGGGAGGGGCAGGGGAAAGGAAAGAAGGGAAAGGAAAAAUGCUGAGAAAUGGAAAAAAUGGAAAUAAAGUCUUUGUAAAUAGGGAAGGGUGGAGGGCGUGAAGGGAGGGCUAGGAAUGGGGAAAAAAUAAGAACCAAGAUGCAUUAUGUAAAGGUACAAUUCCCAAUGAGAAAUGUAAUUGUGUUGUAUACCUACAAUGUACCAAUAAAAGAAUUUAAUUAAAAAAAAAAGAAAGAAACAUAUACCCUAAUUGAAAAGAAUAAUCCAAAAAAAAAAAAAAAAGAUUCUGGCUUCCCUGAAGCAACUGUUACAGGCUGGAAGACAUGGGCCACAGACAACUUUUAAAUAUGAAAUGAUAAUUCUUUGCCUACUGAGAUUCUUUUUUUAAAAAAAUCCACAGGAAGAGUGCAUUUAUAUAUUUAUUUAACAUUUAUGUGCAAUGUCUACAUUUACAAAGUGUUUUACAGUGUAAUAGAAUGGGCACAAAUUUUUUAUCUGGGCACAUAAUUGUCUUUUCUUUCAUAUUCA
rnacentral:lncRNA from 1 species